rnacentral:rRNA from 1 species
AUUGAACGCUGGCGGCAGGCUUAACACAUGCAAGUCGAGCGGAGAUGAGGUGCUUGCACCUUAUCUUAGCGGCGGACGGGUGAGUAAUGCUUAGGAAUCUGCCUAUUAGUGGGGGACAACAUUCCGAAAGGAAUGCUAAUACCGCAUACGCCCUACGGGGGAAAGCAGGGGAUCUUCGGACCUUGCGCUAAUAGAUGAGCCUAAGUCGGAUUAGCUAGUUGGUGGGGUAAAGGCCUACCAAGGCGACGAUCUGUAGCGGGUCUGAGAGGAUGAUCCGCCACACUGGGACUGAGACACGGCCCAGACUCCUACGGGAGGCAGCAGAGGGGAAUAUUGGACAAUGGGCAGAAGCCUGAUCCAGCCAUGCCGCGUGUGUGAAGAAGGCCUUUUGGUUGUAAAGCACUUUAAGCGAGGAGGAGGCUACCUGGAUUAAUACUCUAGGAUAGUGGACGUUACUCGCAGAAUAAGCACCGGCUAACCCUGUGCCAGCCGCCGCAGUAACAC